rnacentral:lncRNA from 1 species
UUUUAAAACAAUGUUUUACUGAGGGUGGAAGAGGGCUGUAUAAAUCUGGUGAAGUGUGGCUGUUGAUCUUGCUUCAAGCUAGACAUGAUGUCAGCAAAAGUUAUGCCAGCCCAAGAAACUCUGAAAGAAUGGACGUGAUAUAUAUGCCAUCACUUGGGAUGCUCAGAGUGAUCCAUUUCUGUUGACAUCUCUACAAAGUUGGGCAAUUUUUCCCUAUUUCAAGUUUCAAAGACCUAUUUUUAUGACUAAGUAUGAUUCAUUAAACAUAUUUAAUGAGUGCCAGUCAAGGGUAAAACAUCUAUAACUAAAACUGGCUCAUAGUAGGUGUUCAAAGAAUCUUUCCUUCUUCCUCAUAGCUUUGGGUGGCAAAUAUUCUGGCUGUUUCAAAAGAUGACCCCUUCUUCCCCAUUUCUCCACCUUCUUCCUCAGCAUUUUCAUGGGAUGAGCUUUUGAUUGUUGCUAAUAAUAGUUCCUUACAUUUAUAUAGUGCUUUAUAGUAAUAAGGCAAUUUCAGGUCCAUAAUUUCAUCUGGGCAUCCCAUGAAUCUAGCCAGAUGGGUAUUAAUAAUCUUUAUUUUUCAGGUGGAAAAAUGAACCUCAGAGAAUUCAAGUUACUUGCUGUUGGUAGAUUAUUCAAAGUUGGAUUUUCUGAUUUAAUAAAGAAGAAGAAAUGAAAAGGUGGAAGGAAAGUUUUUUUGAAGGUCAUUACCUUCAGAGUAACACUGUGCCAGACAUUACUGUUUGCCUCCAAAACAGAAGUAUAUUUACAAUGAGGUGAACAAGCCUAAGUCUCAUGGCCUCCAUUCAAAUAGGCCUUUUCAAAGCCCUGGGAGGGGCCUCCACAAUGUGUUUUCAGGUCAGAUGUUUUUGUGAAAUUUGUUAGCAAAAAGACUUUAUUGUCUUCCAUUACCCCCAGAUUGUAUAAGCUUCAGGACACAAAAAACCUAGUUCUGUCACUCUUCUCAAAUAAGAGAACCUCAAUUUUUAGCCAGGCAUAUUGCCACCCAACCAAAAAGACAAUAUUUCCCAGCAUUCCUUGCAGAGGGGCUGGCCAUGUGAUCAAUUCUAGCCAAUGACAUGUAAGCCAACACAGUAUUUGAGAUUUUCAGGAAUUAUCUUAAGAUGGAGGGAAAGGGA